UGGCUUAGUGGUUAAGAGCACUGGAUGCUCUUCCAGAGGUCCUGAGUUCAAUUCCCAG
rnacentral:tRNA from 1 species